CCUGAAUCCUGCCAAAAUGAUCUAAGAUCAGACCUUGGAUAGAUCAGAGGGACAUUGUCUGCUUGCUUGCUGCCAUAUUCCUGCUGUGAUGAUAAUGGACAAAACCUCUGAACUAAGCUUAUCUUCCAGAAGUUUCCUGAGAAAGCAAACAU